GCUGUGAGCUGCGUGCUGAGC
rnacentral:misc_RNA from 1 species